GAAGGUCACUAUGAUGGGCUAGGAAGGGACACAAAGGGUUGGUGGCAGCAGAGUCUUGGAUGUGCACAUCAGAUACAGCAUCCUGGCAAGAAGAAAAUGGAGGGAGGGAAGCAAUGAAGGAAAUGAAAUGCUUAUUUUUACCAGGUGCUAGAUUUUUCCCAGAGGCCAUCUCCUCAAAUCCUUAUGGCAAAACUCAGAGGCACCUCUGAGACACACUCGUCCUGCAGCCUCAUGUGACUGCCAGACAGACUCAGCUCCUGGUUCGAAGAAGAGAACCCCAAGAUGUAAGGGCACCUCCCAAGCUUGCGGCUGUGUCCUCACGCCACACCUUCUCAUCGAUCACCCGGACUCUGCGUGAGAAAUGAUUUUAUAAGCGAGUUGGCUUUGAGAAGCACAGAGCAGCAGCCAUUGAACAUAUGCUUCUAGAGCAAUUUAAGAGAAAGAAGAAAAAAAACUACCCCUGAAUGGAGACAAAUGCCAUGGGUGGUAGCCCCUGAGGUUCAGAGUCUGGUGUUUUGGGAAUGAAGGGGGUGAAAGGAAACGCAAGCCAAGAACUAAGGAUCAGCAGUGACCGUCUCCCAUCCCUGCCACCCACAGCAAGCACUAGCUAUCCAGCCCUGGGACAGGGUGCUUCGUCUUCAUUUUCAAGGCUUCACCAGCGGCCUGUCUAACUCUGUCCCCUAGCUUCUAUGAACUAAAUAUAAAUAUCAGCCACACCCUGGGCUGUGUGCACACUACCCACCUAACUCUCCAGGCAGUCCCACGUUGAGGUGCAAUUGCGCAUACGAGAACAUUAAUACAGCAUUGCGCAGUGUCAUUAACUAGUGCAUCUGUGCAGCAGGAAGCCUGAGCCCAGACCAGCGCUCCAUCAAGGUUACAGGGGCCCUUCAGAUUUGGCAUCCGAUCCCAAGGCCGCCAAUCCCAAUGUGAGUGGCGCUGGGUACGAGCCACUCCCCUUCCUGGGUUGGCUUCCACACCCGCAGAACGUGGAUGGCGAUGCCAUUUGGCUGGUGUGCUGUGUGGAUUCCAAAAUCCAAAGUUAUACUUAAAAGCAGCUUAAAAGA